rfam:Triticum aestivum genome assembly, contig: Triticum_aestivum_CS42_TGACv1_scaffold_158376_2DL
CAUCUACUACCUUCGUCCGAAAAUAUUUGUUAUCAAAAUAAAUAAAAAGAGAUGUAUCUAGAACUAAAAUAUAUCUAGAUACAUCUCUUUUAUCCAUUUUGAUGACAAGUAUUUUGGUACGGAGGAAGUAUUUU